rnacentral:rRNA from 1 species
AUUGAACGCUGGCGGCAGGCCUAACACAUGCAAGUCGAGCGGAUGAAGGGAGCUUGCUCCUGGAUUCAGCGGCGGACGGGUGAGUAAUGCCUAGGAAUCUGCCUGGUAGUGGGGGAUAACGUCCGGAAACGGGCGCUAAUACCGCAUACGUCCUGAGGGAGAAAGUGGGGGAUCUUCGGACCUCACGCUAUCAGAUGAGCCUAGGUCGGAUUAGCUAGUUGGUGGGGUAAAGGCCUACCAAGGCGACGAUCCGUAACUGGUCUUAGAGGAUGAUCAGUCACACUGGAACUGAGACACGGUCCAGACUCCUACGGGAGGCAGCAGUGGGGAAUAUUGGACAAAGGGCGAAAGCCUGAUCCAGCCAUGCCGCGUGUGUGAAGAAGGUCUUCGGAUUGUAAAGCACUUUAAGUUGGGAGGAAGGGCAGUAAGUUAAUACCUUGCUGUUUUGACGUUACCAACAGAAUAAGCACCGGCUAACUUCGUG